UGGGGAAUUUUGGACAAUGGGCGCAAGCCUGAUCCAGCCAUGCCGCGUGCGGGAAGAAGGCCUUCGGGUUGUAAACCGCUUUUGUCAGGGAAGAAAUCUUCUGAGUUAAUACCUCGGGAGGAUGACGGUACCUGAAGAAUAAGCACCGGCUAACUACGUGCCAGCAGCCGCGGUAAUACGUAGGGUGCAAGCGUUAAUCGGAAUUACUGGGCGUAAAGCGUGCGCAGGCGGUUUUGUAAGACAGAGGUGAAAUCCCCGGGCUCAACCUGGGAACUGCCUUUGUGACUGCAAGGCUUGAGUGCGGCAGAGGGGGAUGGAAUUCCGCGUGUAGCAGUGAAAUGCGUAGAUAUGCGGAGGAAUACCGAUGGCGAAGGCAGCCCCCUGGGCCAAUACUGACGCUCAUGCACGAAAGCCGUGGGGAGCAAAACAGGAUUAGAUACCCUGGUAGUCCACGCCCUAAACGAUGUCAACUAGUUGUUGGGGAUUCAUUUCCUUAGUAACGUAGCUAACGCGUGAAGUUGACCGCCUGGGGAGUACGGUCGCAAGAUUAAAACUCAAA
rnacentral:rRNA from 1 species